rnacentral:lncRNA from 1 species
AUGAUUGUAAGUUUCCAGUGGCCUCCCCAGAAGCAGAAGCUAUUAUGCUUCCUGUACAGCCUGCAGAACUUUACAGGAAUAGAAAAUCAAAAUACAGGCUAUGGACAUCUGGCCAGUAGAUCGGGGGAGAUCUUUUGGGGACAUGCUGUUCCAUGCUCUGCCAACUAUACCACUAGAAGCAGCUCCUUUUCCUUGCCAGAGAAGAAUAACUUUUCAUGGAGACCAGGAGUUAAACUAGGAGCUUUGGAAUCAUUAUUCAUGACCCCUCUGCAAAUAUGUCAGUCUGCAAAGACAUUAUCUUCCCCCAAAUUAUGUAUAGCUUCCUCUGUUAGGGAAAACGAUGGACAAAGAAGAAAUUGUAAGUAAAUUGCCAACACAGGAAAAAAGUUAUGUAAAAGCUUUGAUGACUUCGUGCUACAAUUUGAUACAUUUUAUUAUAAAGAGCAUGCUGGAGACUGGGGCAAAUGGAUGGCAGGUCUAAUAAAAUCAAAUUUUCAGACAUUUAUCUUCUUACUUCAUAUUUGCAUUUUCGACUUCUUAUAUGAUAUUGUCACUCACACACAGGCUUAUUUCUCUUAGGACAUAGAGAUUCACAUUCUGUGUUUGUACUGGAGACCUGUUCACUAUUUAUGUUUAUGGUGUUUACUGAGUUGUAACAUUUAAAUCAUUAUUUUUAUUGUUACUUUAAUAUUCAACAAACCUUUUUUUCUUAGUAAACUUUAUUUUUCCAACAUAAAAGUAAUAUAAUACUUGGAAAAUACAGCAAAAUAAAAAAAGGAAAAAUCAAUGUAAUUUUAC